AGCAGCCGCGGUAAUUCCAGCUCCAAUAGCGUAUAUUAAAGUUGUUGCAGUUAAAAAGCUCGUAGUUGAAUUUCGGGGUUAGUAGGUUGGUCAUGCCUCUGGUAUGUACUGGUCUCACUGAUUCCUCCUUCCUGAUGAGCCGUAAUGCCAUUAAUUUGGUGUUGCGGGGAAUUUGGACUGUUACUUUGAAAAAUUAGAGUGUUUAAAGCAAGCUAACGCUUGAAUACAUUAGCAUGGAAUAAUGAAAUAGGACGUUCGAUCCUAUUUUGUUGGUUUCUAGGAUUGACGUAAUGAUUAAUAGGGAUAGUUGGGGCAUUAGUAUUCAAUUGUCAGAGGUGAAAUUCUUGGAUUUAUUGAAGACUAACUACUGCGAAAGCAUUUG
rnacentral:rRNA from 1 species